CUCUAUAUGUGAAUUCUACCUAAGACUCAGGUGACGCAAGUCUCAAUAUCCUGCCGAGGCCAGAAGAUAAGUGAGUUAAUUAAACUCCAUGUCUUUAGGCAUGGAGUUUUUAUUUGGCUAU
rfam:Lactobacillus amylophilus DSM 20533 = JCM 1125 strain DSM 20533 NODE_21, whole genome shotgun sequence.